rnacentral:rRNA from 1 species
UUAAGUGACUAAGCGUACAAGGUGGAUGCCUUGGCAAUCAGAGGCGAGGAAGGACGUGCUAAUCUGCGAAAAGCUUGGAUGAGUCGAUAAGAGGCGUUUAAUCCAAGAUGUCCGAAUGGGGAAACCCAGUAGAUGAAGAAUCUACUAUCACUUACUGAAUCCAUAGGUAAGUGAGGCAAACCGGGAGAACUGAAACAUCUAAGUACCCCGAGGAAAAGAAAUCAACCGAGAUUUCGUUAGUAGCGGCGAGCGAACGCGAAGGAGCCUGUUAGUGAUAAUGACAGAGACAGAGGAACAAGCUGGGAAGCUUGGCGAUACAGGGUGAUAGCCCCGUACUCGAAGUCCAGGUCAUGGUACUAAGCUAACGACAAGUAGGGCGGGACACGUGAUAUCCUGUUUGAAGAUGGGGGGACCAUCCUCCAAGGCUAAAUACUCCUGAUUGACCGAUAGUGAACCAGUACUGUGAAGGAAAGGCGAAAAGAACCCCGGUGAGGGGAGUGAAAUAGAACCUGAAACCUUGUACGUACAAGCAGUGGGAGCCCUUUAAGGGUGACUGCGUACCUUUUGUAUAAUGGGUCAGCGACUUAUAUUUUGUAGCGAGGUUAACCGAAUAGGGGAGCCGAAGGGAAACCGAGUCUUAACUGGGCGUCUAGUUGCAAGGUAUAGACCCGAAACCCGGUGAUCUAGCCAUGGGCAGGUUGAAGGUUGGGUAACACUAACUGGAGGACCGAACCGACUAAUGUUGAAAAAUUAGCGGAUGACUUGUGGCUGGGGGUGAAAGGCCAAUCAAACCGGGAGAUAGCUGGUUCUCCCCGAAAUCUAUUUAGGUAGAGCCUUGAGCGGACACCUUCGGGGGUAGAGCACUGUUUCGGCUAGGGGUCCAUCCCGGAUUACCAACCCGAUGCAAACUACGAAUACCGAAGAGUGAUACUCAGGAGACACACGGCGGGUGCUAACGUCCGUCGUGGAGAGGGAAACAACCCAGACCGCCAGCUAAGGUCCCAAAGUCUAUAUUAAGUGGGAAACGAAGUGGGAAGGCUUAGACAGCUAGGAUGUUGGCUUAGAAGCAGCCAUCAUUUAAAGAAAGCGUAAUAGCUCACUAGUCGAGUCGGCCUGCGCGGAAGAUGUAACGGGGCUCAAAUAUAGCACCGAAGCUGCGGCAUCAGUAGCAAUACUGUUGGGUAGGGGAGCGUUCUGUAAGCGGAUGAAGGUGGCUCGAGAGGGCUGCUGGACGUAUCAGAAGUGCGAAUGCUGACAUAAGUAACGAUAAAACGGGUGAAAAACCCGUUCGCCGGAAGACCAAGGGUUCCUGUCCAACGUUAAUCGGGGCAGGGUGAGUCGGCCCCUAAGGCGAGGCUGAAAAGCGUAGUCGAUGGGAAACGGGUUAAUAUUCCCGUACUUGGAUAAACUGCGAUGUGGGGACGGAGUAGGUUAGGUUAUCGCACUGUUGGAUAUGUGCGUUUAAGUUGGUAGGUGUGAAGUUUAGGCAAAUCCGGACUUCUUUAACACCGAGAGAUGAUGACGAGGCUCUACGGAGCUGAAGUAACCGAUACCACACUUCCAGGAAAAGCCACUAAGCUUCAGGUUUAUCUAAACCGUACUGAAAACCGACACAGGUGGUCAGGUAGAGAAUACUCAGGCGCUUGAGAGAACUCGGGUGAAGGAACUAGGCAAAAUAGCACCGUAACUUCGGGAGAAGGUGCGCCGGCGUAGAUUGUAGUCCCUUGCGGGCGAAGGUUGAACCGGUCGAAGAUACCAGCUGGCUGCAACUGUUUAUUAAAAACACAGCACUCUGCAAACACGAAAGUGGACGUAUAGGGUGUGAUGCCUGCCCGGUGCUGGAAGGUUAAUUGAUGGUGUAAUCGAAAGAGAAGCUCCUGAUCGAAGCCCCAGUAAACGGCGGCCGUAACUAUAACGGUCCUAAGGUAGCGAAAUUCCUUGUCGGGUAAGUUCCGACCUGCACGAAUGGUGUAA